ensembl:lncRNA
CAAGGAGGAAGGGUCUUAAGCUGGAGAUUCUUCUUGCAGCCCUUCUGUGAGCACAGGAUAUGGAAACUACAACAUGGAAUCACAGAAUCACAGGGCUUGGAAGAGACCUUGAGAGAUCAUUGAAACUGAUCCCCAUGCUAAACCCUACACUAGGUUGCACAGUUUGAUAAAGACUGAUUCAGCUCACGACCACCCAACCCAAGAUUGUUUUCUAUUGCUGCAGAGACUAGCUACAGGGCAGUGACCAGAGGAUGUGCAGCCUGCCCAGCUUGUUUGCAGUUGCUGUUCACUCAUAAAAACAGCUGAAGGCAUGUGUUGCAUAUGCAUGAUGAGAUUGAUUGCAACGAUGAACACCAUAGGUCUGCCUAGAGGCAGAGGAGUUGGAGCUGGAGGAAGGCCACAUCUGGGACAUUUCUGAGGAGCUUGGGGAAAGAUCAGGAAACUCAAGAGAAAGGAAGGAGCAGAUGGUGCAUAAGAGGUGAUCUGCAGCAGAUUUCAUCUUGGGAACAAGAGAAGAGAGUUGUCCCACAGGGGAGAAGCACAAGAAACCAUUGAAGGUCAGCACCAUGGGUGCAACCACAACUUCCUGAUGCACUGAUUUUGGCAGCUGGCCACCAGGUCCCUGAGAGCAGCUACGGAGGCUGUGGCUUCUCUCCUGUCCUGCUGACUUUGCACAGUAUUUCUAGUUGUAGUUGAUAUUAAUAGGGAAAAAAAAAAAGAAGGGUGAGAAGUUAUGCCCAAGUUCAAGAAUGCAACAUUUUCAUGGACAUGCUGCUUGUUAACAAAAUAAAAUAAAAUAAUAAAAUGGAAUGUCAGAUGUCACCUGCUUGUAGCUCCUAUGGAGCAUUUAAGUUUUGUUGAGUCAGUGUGGUUUUUCCCAUUCUUAGGCUAAGCACCAAGGCAGCUCUUUCUAAGAUAGAUCUUUGAGCUUCUGAAGUAGUGAAUGCCAUUUGAUUAACACAUUCUAUUGUACAAAAUAAAUAAAUAAAUGUACUCUUUGUACAAUUUUAGAGUAAUUUUGUUAGGUACAUUCAGCAGGAGCAGCAGGCUGCAAAUUCAUAACAUUACUGAUACUUUGGAUGACUUUUAGACACUGGCAAGCCAAUACUAGUGUCUUCCCCUUGGGUCUAUAGAUCAGUUUGUUUAAAGAACUGUUAGGCAUAAUAAAAUAUUGCAUUUAUUUCUAAAUAUUUACCUGUAAUUGUUGUAAAUAUCAAGCUUUUUAUUACCAGUAACAAUAAUACUUGUAAUUAAUUAACAAGGUCUAAUUCUUCCUUUGCUAAUACAAUCAGCUUUCCAGAGGAUGAAUCUCUUACACAAUGAUAGCAAAGUGAAAAUUUUCCUUGGAUGGAAAAUAUGAUUUAUAAAUCAGAAAAAAAAAAAAAAAAGGCAGGAGCAGAUGUAACACCUGAAAGUAUUUUCUUUUAAACUGUGUUUAAGCAGGGUGAGGGAGAUGACAUCAAAUUCUUAAUAUUUCAAGGUGGCAGCACCCUGUUAAAUUGCUCUGUGAGAUCUAUGCGCUGUCUGAUGAAUGUAUACUCUGAAGCGUGUGGUUCCAUGAAUAUAAAAUGGUUUAUUGAACAAAAUAAACAAUUAUUUGCAGUCUUUGACAGACAAUUCUACAUUUCUCUGCAAUCUCAUAAAUGACAGCUAUGACCAAAGUCAAGUCUACGUCCGUGUUUGCAACAACUUCUCUCUGUUUCAUAUAAUUUAACCCUAAAUACCUUCUCAGUAGUGAAUUUCUUUCACUUGUUUUGUCAUUUGGAAUGUUAUGAAACUAUCACUUUUAAUAAUGUGAUAUUUUUUCUGCCCCCUCACACCAAAAUGAUGAUUUAUUUUCCAUUCUGGAGGCAUAAAUCAUAUUUUUAAAUAAUAUUUAACUAAGUUUAGGCUUUCAUAGAUGUUCAAUUUAUCUUUCUAAUAUCUGAAGUUGCUGCUGCUUCCUAGUUGGAAUAUAUCUAAUUUUUCAACCCAUUGGUUUCUUUUUGCAUAGGGAGGAAUCGGGCAGCGUGUACUUAGCAAUUGCUUUUCAAGAAACAAAAUUUGUGGAAUUUGUGUUGACCAUCCAAUUUUCUUCUUUUCUAUAUGUAUAGGUGGAAGCUGGGACCACACCUAUCUUUUUAGGAGUUUUGUUCUCAUUUGAAAAUUUAUUUUGUAUCUGAUACAGUGCAUAGUUUUAUUCUAUCCUUGCUAUUGAUUUUGUCUUUGAUUUACCUGUGCCAAAAUGCAAGUAGAGUUCUAAAAUUUAAACUAGUCUUGUUUUUCUUUCACACAGUCCUUAAUAAGAUAAGAAUUCUGCACUUGGAGACUCACUCAGCAUUCUUCAUUAGGACUUUGUAUACUGAAAAUAAAAUGUACAGUAUCUAUGUCUCACUGAUAACUAAGCAGUUCUGUGCUGAUUAUUUUUGAAAGCUGAACAGAGUAUUUUGUUAAAGAUAAAAGGUUGAUCAAGACUAAGCUAGUCUUUUUGAAGUAUUACAUCUAAAUGACAUAUAUGGUCUGUUGAUAGAUACUUGGAAAUUUUUGUGCUAGUAAAGAAAAUUCGGAUGUUAAGAAUAGGUGUACAAGGCUGACUCUGUGAAAGCUGUUGCAUGGUUUCUGUUGGGACUGACCAUCUUCGACAUUUCUGAAAGAAGAAAACCCUUCAAAAGUGUUAUUUUACGACUGGCAGAUUUCAAAACUCUUUGCAGAGGGAAAAGUGGGCAUAUUCCAUAUCUACACAAGAUAGUAGAAAUUCAG